UUUGCCUUGGAAACAAACUGGGAUCAUUCUGUCAUUUUUCAGAUUGCACUUAAGUACUGCAUUUCAGGCUGUUUUGUUGAAUAAUGGAAGGCUACUCUGUUUCUUCUAAAGGAGUCUUGCCCACAUCUAAGUUAAAUUC